GUUUGAACCUCGGCUGGGAUGGGGACACGGUGCCCGCAUUCCAUCGUCUGUGGGGACACGGUGCCCGCGUUCCAUCGCCCGUGGGGACACGGUGUCCGCGUUCCAUCGCCCGUGGGGACACGGUGCCUCCGUUCCAUCGCCCGUGGGGACACGGUGUCCGCGUUCCAUCGCCCGUGGGGACACGGUGCCCAUUACACGGUGCCUCCAUUCCAUCACCCGUGGGGACACGGUGCCUCCGUUCCAUCGCCCCUGGGGACACAGUGCCCAUUACACGGUGCCUCCGUUCCAUCGCCUGUGGGGACAGAGUGCCCUGUUCCAUCGCCCGUGGGGACACGGUGCCUACAUUCCAUCGCCCGUGGGGACACGGUGCCUCCAUUCCAUCGCCUGUGGGGACACAGUGCCCCGUUCCAUCGCUGGGAUGGGGAUACGGUGCCUCCAUUCCAUCGCCCGUGGGGACACGGUGCCUCCAUUCCAUCGCCCGUGGGGACAUGGUGCCCACAUUUCGUCGCCCGUGGGGACACGGUGCCCAUUACACGGUGCCCCGUUCCAUCACUGGGAUGGGGACACGGUGCCCGCAUUCCAUCGCCCGUGGGGACAUGGUGCCCACAUUUCAUCGCCCGUGGGGACACAGUGCCCUGUUCCAUCGCCCGUGGGGACACGGUGCCCAUUACACGGUGUCCCGUUCCAUCGCCCGUGGGGACACGGUGCCCACAUUCCAUCGCUGGGAUGGGGACACGGUGCCCACAUUCCAUCGCCCGUGGGGACACGGUGCCUCCAUUCCAUCGCCCGUGGGGACAUGGUGCCCACAUUCCAUCGCCCGUGGGGACACGGUGCCCACAUUCCAUCGCCCGUGGGGACACGGUGCCCGCGUUCCAUCGCCCGUGGGGACGCGGUGCCUCCGUUCCAUCGCCCGUGGGGACAUGGUGCCUCCGUUCCAUCGCCCGUGGGGACAUGGUGCCUCCGUUCCAUCGCCCGUGGGGACACGGUGCCCGCGUUCCAUCGCCCGUGGGGACAUGGUGCCUCCGUUCCAUCGCCCGUGGGGACAUGGUGCCCCAUUCCAUCGCCCGUGGGGACAUGGUGCCCCAUUCCAUCGCCCGUGGGGACACGGUGCCCAUUACACGGUGUCCCGUUCCAUCGCUGGGAUGGGGACACGGUGCCUCCAUUCCAUCGCCCGUGGGGACACGGUGCCCGCGUUCCAUCGCCCGUGGGGACACGGUGCCUCCGUUCCAUCGCCCGUGGGGACACGGUGCCCAUUACACAGUGCCCUGUUCCAUCACCCGUGGGGACACGGUGCCCAUUACACAGUGCCCUGUUCCAUCACCCGUGGGGACACGGUGCCUCCAUUCCAUCACCUGUGUGGACACAGUGCCCCGUUCCAUCGCCCAUGGGGACACGGUGCCUCCAUUCCAUCCCUGUGGGGACACAGUGCCCGUCCGUGUCCCGGCGUGGAACACGGCACC
rnacentral:lncRNA from 1 species